AAAACCAUAAAGUAAAUGUAAGGUUUCAACAAGGUUCUAGUUACCCUCAUAGUCAGCACUUUUAUAAUUUUUACAAAUACUAAAAUUUGCCAGGAUUGGUGGUGCACAUCUGUAAUCCCAGCUAUUUGGGAGGCUGAGGCAGGAGGACUGCAAGUUUAAAGACAGCCUCAGCAACUUAGCUAGACCCUAACUUAGGGAGACCCUAUCUCAAAAUAAAAAAAUAAAAAGGGCUGGGGAUGUGGCUCUGUGGUAGAGCACCCCCGGGUUCAAUCCCUAGUGCUAGAAAAAAAUUUUGAAAUAUAUCAAAUUUGAGGCCAGCUUCCCUGGAAAUUUGAGCAUAUGCAGAGUUGAUGUCCUGGGACCAAGGAGUUGGCUGCAACAGCAUCAGGUGGUGCUGAGGGUGUGGCUCUAUUCCCCUGUGGAUAUUGCCCCACAAGGCCACAGUAUUUGUUGUGUUCCUUAGGUUAAAAGCAUUUUGUGCUUAGUAGCUCAUUAAUCCUCUAACUUGGGGAGGGGAGGCAAUACGAUUGCUUGACCCUCUGUUUUAACUGGUUGAACAGGUACAGUGAAGGUAAGCUUUGUGACUUAGUGACAAAUUCAAAACCUAUUAGAGCCUGGACCAAACCUACCCACAGCAUUAUUCUACAUGAUGCUGCAUUUCCCUGUGUACUAGAAAAAAUUAAUAACACACAAAAACAGAUCUAACUUCUGGAAAGCUUACCAUAGACUUACAUCCCCUUUGUGGAUCACUAAAUGUCAUGUUCAAUUGGAAAACCCCUGGGCUUCUAAUUUUACACAUUGUCUUUCAGGCAUAGAGUUGGAAUUAGAAUCACUGAAAGACCUCAAAAAUUUUUAAAGUAAAGGAAGCUGCACUUUGUGUAAGGAAUGCUGUCCUGAAUACAUUGCAUAAUUUCAAAUACUCAUAACUUAAGACCAGUUUUCACAGAAAAAAAUAUUAAGUGGGAUGCUGUUGUGGUUUUUUGGCCCUACUGCUAUAUUUCACCUUUACAUCAUUUUCUCCAGUGCUUUUUAGAGUGUGCUGUCUUCUAAAUUAACAGAUGGUAUACCAUUGUUGCAGUGGUUAGGAGUUCAAGUGUUUUAUCAUUGGUAAGUUCUAUGCUAAAAGUUUUUAGUGCAGGCAAUGGCAUCAUGGUCACUGACUCACAUUGGAAGUUGCAGUGCCCAUCAAUUGGAGUGUGGGUCACUCUAUAUUGUGUGAUGCAC
rnacentral:lncRNA from 1 species